rnacentral:rRNA from 1 species
AUGGCGAGCAUGGACGUCGAGCGAAGCAACCCGGCGGCGCCGUCCUGGCAGGCGGGGCUUGAGACCGUGAAAAAGUGGCAGCGGAUUCGAUGCAGCAUGAGGAGGGCUUGGCCGGCCAUCUGCGUUGUGGCGGCGACCCUGCUCGCAGUCGUCGUGCUCUCCGCCGCCCGGGAUGGCUAUGGCUUGCCGAUGGUACCCAGCAGCUGGCUCUCAGUAGAAGAUGUACCUCCGUCCAAUCUCACCACCGACCAGCUCCUGGACGGUCUGCUCACCGCGGAAUUUGGCUCGCGCUCAUGCCGGAGCCGGUACGAGUUCGCCAGCUACCAUGACAAGAAGAAGAAGAAGAAGCACACAUCACAUAAACCAUCCCCCUACUUGCUCGCCAAGCUCCGAAGUCACGAAGCGCUCCAAAAGCAAUGCGGCCCCGGCACGGCCCCGUACAGGGCGGCGAUCCGGCAGCUCAAGUCUGGAAAUGGCAUCGUCACAUCCGACAGUGAAAACUGCCGCUACCUGGUCCCCAUAAGCUAUCGAGGCCUCGGGAACCGGAUGCUGUCCACAGUGUCAGCCUUCCUCUACGCUGUGCUCACCGAGCGCACCCUCCUCGUCCAGCACGACAUGGCCGCCCUCUUCUGCGAACCUUUCCCGAGGACCACGUGGCUGCUCCCGUCCUCAGGCUGGUUGGGUGGUGGCUUCCCGCUUGGACACCUCAAGAAAUACGGCAAGGACUCCAAGGAGAGCCUCGGCAACAUGCUCAAGGCCAAUGUGCUAUCCGUGGGCGACAAUGGGAACGCGUCGUGGUCGGACUCGGACCGGCCACCGUACGUCUACCUACACCUGGAUGGCGGCUACGGUUUCUACGACAAGCUCUUCUACUGCGACGAGCAGCAGCGGCUCAUCCGCGGCGCGCCGUGGCUGCUGAUGAGGACAGACAGCUACCUCGUCCCCGGGCUCUUCCUCAUCCCAUCUUUCCGGGACGAGCUGGAGCGGAUGUUCCCGGAGAAGGACGUCGCGUUCCACCACCUCGGUCGGUACCUAUUCCACCCGGCCAACGACGUGUGGCGCGCGGUCACCAGAUACUACGACGCCCACCUCGCCGGCGCCGGGCAGCGCGUCGGCAUACAGAUACGGGUUUUCACACAGAAUAAACCGUUGCAGAAGGUCCUGGACCAGGUUCUCUCGUGCGUCCGUAGGGAGAAGCUGCUUCUCCCGUCCAUACAGACGAACAACGCGUCUGUGCUGGUCACCUCUCUGAGCUCGUGGUACUACGAGAGGAUCAAGGCCGAGUAUGGCGGCAGCCGGGUGCACCAGCCGAGCCACGAGGGGUGGCAGAAGAUGCGGGAUGCCUCGCAGGACAGGAAGGCGUUGAGCGAGAUGUACCUGCUCAGUACCUGCGACGUUCUCGUCACCACCGGGUUUUCCACCUUCGGCUACGUGGCGCAGGGGCUCGGCGGGAUACUGCCAUGGAUCAUGCCCGCCACGCCCUUCUGGUCGACCGAAACGGGGGUGGUACCAGACCCGCCGUGCAUGCGAGCCAUGUCCGUCGAGCCUUGCUUCCACUCGCCGUCCAACUACGGCUGUGCGGCCAGGAAGGAUGUGGACGUGGGGACACUUGUGCCGUACAUCCGGCAUUGUGAGGAUGCAAGCUGGGGGAUUAAGAUUGCCAACGAAAGCAUGCAGCCACCGGUAGCUUAA